rnacentral:rRNA from 1 species
AUGGAGUGUUUUCUUACUUUUCAGGAUAUGCCUCGUUAUGAUGAUCGUUAUGGAAACGCACGCCUGUAUGUUGGUAGAUUGUCUUCCCGUACUCGUUCGCGCGACCUAGAAUAUCUUUUCAGCAAAUAUGGAAGAAUACGGGAAGUGGAAUUGAAGCGCGACUAUGCAUUCAUUGAAUACAGUGAUCCUCGUGAUGCUGAUGAUGCCCGAUACAAUCUAGAUGGCAGGGAUGUUGAUGGGAGCCGCAUUAUUGUUGAGUUUGCUAAAGGGGUUCCACGUGGUUCUGGUGGUUCACGAGAACGUGAAUAUGUGGGAAGAGGCCCUCCUCCAGGAACAGGCCGUUGUUUCAACUGUGGUAUUGAUGGUCACUGGGCCAGGGACUGCAAGGCUGGUGACUGGAAGAACAAAUGCUACCGCUGUGGAGAAAGGGGCCAUAUAGAAAGAAAUUGCCAGAAUAGUCCGAGGAGUCUCAGGCGUGAGAGAAGCUAUUCACGGUCCCCAUCUCCACGUCGUGGACGGGCCCGCAGUCGGAGCUACAGCAGAAGCCGUAGUUACAGCCGAUCUAGGUCCAGAUCUUAUUCUGAAUCUCCCAGAGGGCGCCGCACAGAGCGUGAUGAGAGGAGAUCAAGGAGCAUCAGCUACAGCAGGAGCCCCAGGCGAUCACUCUCCCCAGAAGCUAAGGAAAUGGAUCGCAGCCCCACACCUGAUCGCAGUCGGAGCCCCAGGCGAUCCAUCUCACCUGUAGCAAAGGAUAAUGGUGAUAGCCCUCGGGGCAGGGAUAAGAGCAGGAGCCCUUCUGAUGGCUACCGCAGCCCUGUGGCCAAUGGGCGCAGUCCAAGCCCUGCUAACAAUGGCAAUCCCAGUCCUACCAGGGACAACAAGGGCAGUCCAAGCCCGAGGGUCAACAAUGGUAGCCCUAGUCCCAAGGGCAAUGGCGAUGGUGGCAGCCCAAGUCCAAGGGGCAAUGGUGACGAUGAUGGCCGUCGCGGCUCAGGCUCACCUAGAGGAAGAAGCGUGUCUCCCUGA